UAGGGAAUCUUCCGCAAUGGGCGAAAGCCUGACGGAGCAACGCCGCGUGAGUGAUGAAGGUCUUCGGAUCGUAAAACUCUGUUAUUAGGGAAGAACAAAUGUGUAAGUAACUAUGCACGUCUUGACGGUACCUAAUCAGAAAGCCACGGCUAACUACGUGCCAGCAGCCGCGGUAAUACGUAGGUGGCAAGCGUUAUCCGGAAUUAUUGGGCGUAAAGCGCGCGUAGGCGGUUUUUUAAGUCUGAUGUGAAAGCCCACGGCUCAACCGUGGAGGGUCAUUGGAAACUGGAAAACUUGAGUGCAGAAGAGGAAAGUGGAAUUCCAGGUGUAGAGGUGAAAUGCGCAGAGAUAUGGAGGAACACCAGUGGCGAAGGCGACUUUCUGGUCUGUAACUGACGCUGAUGUGCGAAAGCGUGGGGAUCAAACAGG
rnacentral:rRNA from 1 species